rnacentral:lncRNA from 1 species
AACACUGCUUUGUUGCACUGGUGCUUCAGUAUCAACUGCUUCGGCAACUUCACUUUCUUCUACAGUAGCUUCUCUUUCUUCUAAUGAUUCCUGGUUCUGUGCUUGAAUAUUUACAGGUGGCUCCCUUGUUGUCGUGUCAUAUUCUGGUGUUGUCUCCUCAGAUGGUGGCAUGUUGCUCUGGUUGCCUGUUUCUUCAGUCUUUUCAUUCACUGGGUCAUUGGUUUCUUCAGCAUAAUCUUGAUUCAGCACUUCAAGAGCAUCAGUUGCUGGCUCAUCAGCAUGUUCAGAUUUAGGCACCUCUUCAUCCACCACGUCUGCAUCCAUUGCAUCAGCUCUCUGGCUUUGCUGAUCUUCUACAUUGGCCACCUCUUCUGUAGGUUCUGCGGUAGAUGUAUCUUCAGGAAAACUCUCUUUCUUUUCAGGAUGGAUAACACCUUCUGUUUUAACUAGUUUAUCUGUUUCUGUGUUUCCAUCAGUAGUAUCAGGAAUGGCAUCAGAGAUGUCCAGAUUGAUCUCCACAGGAGUUUGAAUUCCAGAAGGUGCUUCGGUUGUUACAUCAACAUCAGCAAUGUUGGCCAUGCUUGCAGGUUGUGUGUUCUCAGUUGCAUUUUCUGGUCCUAGAUCAUGGAAUUGCUGACCUUCUUUUGUUUGCCCAAUAGCGUCCUGCGUGUCUUCCUGCGCUGUGUUAUUUGUAGCACCUAAGUUAUGUUGAUCUUCUGGAACUGCGUCCUCAAGAGCAACACUGCUUUGUUGCACUGGUGCUUCAGUAUCAACUGCUUCAGCAACUUCAUUUUCUGCUACAGUAGCUUCUCUUUCUUCUAAUGAUUCCUGGUUCUGUGCUUGAAUAUUUACAGGUGGAUCCCUUGUUGCUGUGUCAUACUCUGGUACUGUCUCCUCAGAUGUUAGCAUGUUGCUCUGGUUGGCUGUUUCUUCAAUCUUUUCAUUCGCUGGGCCACUGGUUUCUUCAGCAUAUUCUUGAUUGAGCACUUCAAGGGUAUCAGUUGCUGGCUCAUCGGCUUUAGAUUUAGGCACCUCUUCUUGCACCACGUCUGCAUCCAUUGCAUCAGCUUGCUGGUUGUGCUGAUCUUCUACAUUGGCCACCUCUUCUAAAGGUUCUGUGGUAGAUGUAUCUUCUAGAAAACUCUCUUUGUUUUCAGGAUGGAUAACACCUUCUGCUUUAACUAGUUCAUCUGUUCCUGUGUUUCCAUCAGUAGUAUCUGCAAUGGCAUCAGAGAUGUCCAGAUUGAUCUCCACAGGAGUUUGAAAUCCAGAAGGUGCUUCGGUUAUAACCUCAACCUCAGGAAUGUUUGCCGUGCUUGCAGGUUGUGUGUUCUCUAUUGCAUUUUCUGGUCCUAGAUCUUGGUAUCGCUGACCUUCUUUUGUUUGCCCAGUAGCUUCCAUCAUGUCUUCUUGCACUGUAUUAUUUGCAACACCUAAAUUAUGUUGGUCUUCUGGAACUGCCUCCUCAAAAGCAACACUGCUUUGUUGCACUGGUGCUUCAGUAUGAACUGCUUCAGCCACUUCUCUUUCUUCUACAGUAGCUUCUCCUUCAUCUACUGGUUCCUGGUUCUGCGCUUGAAUAUUUACAGGUUGAUCCCUUGUUGCCGCGUCAUAUUUUGGUAUUGUCUCCUCAGAUGCUGGCAUGUUGCUCUGGUUGGUUGCUUCUUCAGUCUCUUCAUUCACUGGGCUAUUGGUUUCUUCAAUAGAUUCUUGAUUCAGCACUUCAAGAGCAUCAGCUGUUGGCUCAUCAGCAUGUUCAGAUUUAGGCACAUCUUCCUGCACCACGUCUGCAUCCAUUGCUUCAGCUUGCUGGCUCUGUCUAUCUUCUACUUUGAUCACCUCUUCUGUAGGUUCUGCGGUAGAUGUAUCUUCUUGAAAGCUCUCUUUCUUUUCAGGAUGAAUGAUACUGUGCGCUUUAGCUGGUUCAGUUGUUUCUGUGCUUCCAUCAGUAGCAUCUGGAAUGGCAUCAGAGAUGUCCCGGUUGAUCUCAACAGGAGUUUGAAUUCCAGAAGAUGCUUUGGUUAUAACAUCAACAUCAGGAAUGUUUGCCAUGCUUGCAGGUUGUGUGUUCUCAGUUGCAUUUUCUGGUCCUAGAUCCUGGUAUUGCUGACCUCCUUUUGUUUGCUUAGUUGCUUCCAGUGUGUCUUGCUGCACUGUGUCAUUUGUCGCACCUAAGUUAUGUUGAUGUUCUGGAACUGACUCCUCAAAAGAAGCACUGCUUGGUUGAACUGUUGCUUCAGUAUCAACUGCUUCAUGAACUUCUCUUUCUUCUAAUGAUUCCUGGUUCUGUGCUUGAAUAGUUACAGAUGGCUCCCUUGUUGUCACAUCAUUUUCUGGUAGUGUCUCCUCAGAUGCGGGCAUGUUGCUCUGGUGUGUUGUUUCUUCAGUAUUUUCAUAUACUGGGCCAUCUGUUUCUUCAUCAGAUUCUUGAUUCAGCGCUUCAACAGCAUCGGUUGCUGGCUCAUCGGUGUGCUCCGAUGUAGGCACCUCUUCCUGCACCACGUCUGCAUCCUUUGCAUCAACUUGUUGGCUCUGUUGAUCUUCUAGUGUGACCACCUCUUCUGUAGGUCCAGUAGAUGUAUCUUCUGCAAAGCUCUCUUCCGUAUCAGGACGAGCGACAGUGUUUGCUUUAGCUGGCUCAUCUGUUUCUGUGUUUCCAUCGUUAGUAUCUGGAAUGGCAUCAGAGAUGUCCAGAUUGAUCUCCACAGGACUUUGAAUUUCAGAAGGUGCUUUGGUUAUAACCUCAACAUCAGGAAUGUUUUCCGUGCUUGCAGGUUGUGUGUUCUCAGCUGCAUUUUCUGGUCCUAGAUCUUGGUAUUGCUGACCUUCUUGUGUUUGUCCAGUGGCUUCCAUUGUGUCUUCUUGCACUGUGUUAUUUGCAACACCUAAAUUAUGGUGCUCUUCUGGAACUGCCUCAUCAAAAGCAACACUGCUUUGUUGCACUGGUGCUUCAGUAUCAACUGCUUCAGCAACUUCUCUUUCUUCUACAGUAGAUUCUCUUUCAUCUACUGGUUCCUUGUUCUGCACUUGAUUAUUUGCAGGUGGCUCCCUUGUCGCGUCAUAUUCUGCCGUUGUCUCCUCAGAUGCUGGUAUGUUGCUCUGUUGGGUUGUUUCUUCAGUCUUUUCAUUCAUUGGGUCAUCAGUUUCUUCAACAGAUUCCAGCACUUCAAGAGCAUCAGUUGCUGGCUCAUCAGCACGUUCAGAUUUAGGCACCUCUUCCAGCACCACUUCUGCAUCCAUUGCAUCAUCUUGCUGGUUCUGCUGAUCUUCUACUUUGACUACCUCUGCUGUAGGUUUGGUGGUAAAUGUAUUUUCUGGAAAGACUUCAUUCUUUUCAGGAUGAACGAAAGUGUGUGCUUUAGCUGGUUCAUCUGUUUCUGUGUUUCCAUCAGUUGCAUCUGGAAUGGCAUCAGAGAUAACCAGAUUGAUCUCCAUGGGAGUUUGAAUUCCAGAGGGUGUUUCAGUUAUAACCUCAACAUCAAGAAUAUUUGUCAUGCUUGCUUGUUGUGUGUUUUCAGUUGCAUUUUCUGGUCCUAGGUCUUGGUAUUCCUGACCUCCUUUUGAUUGCCCACUAGCUUCCAGCGUGUCUUCCUGCUCUGUGUUAUGUGUAGCACCUAAAUUACAUUGAUGUUCUGGAACCGACUCCUCAAAAGCAGCACUGCUUUGUUGCACUGUUGCUUCAGUAUCAACUGCUUCAGCAAGUUCUAUUUCUUCUAAUGGUUCCUGGUUCUGCACUUGAAUAGUUACAGGUGCUUGAAUUGCUGGCUCAUCAACAGAUUCUUGAUUCAGCACUUCAAAAGCAUCAGUUGCUGGCUCAUCAGCAUGUUCAGAUUUAGGCACCUCUUCCUGCACCAUGUUUGCAUCCAUCACAUCUGCUUGCUGGCUCUGUUGAGCUUCUACUUUGACCACCUCUUCUGUAGGUUCCUCAGUGGUUGCGUCUUCUAGAAAUCUCUCUUUCUUUUCAGGAUGAACAACAGAGUGUGCUUUAGAUGGCUCAUCUGUUUCUGUGUUUGCAUCAAUAGUAUCUGGAACAGCAUCAGAGUUGUUGAGAUUCAGGUCCCCAGGAGUUUGGACUCCAGAAGAUGCUUCAGUUACAACCUCAACCUGGGGAAUGUUUGUCAUGCUUGCAGGUUGUGUAUCCUCAGUUGCCUUUUCUGGUUCUAGAUCCUCAUCUUGCUGACCAUCAUCCUGUUGCUCAAUACCUAUCACUGUAUCCUCAUUCACAGUGUCAUUGUCUAUAGUAACACUUAAAUUAGAUUGAUCUUCUGGAAUUGCAUCCCCAGAACCACUGCUUGGUUGGAUUCCUUUUUCGGUAUCUUCUAUUUCUUCUAAUGGUUCCUGGUCCUGCACUUGUGUAUUUACUGGUGUAGCACUCAUUGUUGCUUCAUGUUCUAGUGUUGUCUCCUUUGGAGCUGCCAUGUUCCUCUGGUGUGCAGUUUCUUCAAUCUUUU